UUAAAAACAAAGAAAAGGAAUAGUAGAAAUACUUCUUUUAAAGAGAGUGCAUGGUUGGUGGAAAUGCAUAAAGAAAGCUUUUGAACUCGCCUUGGAUGUUGCUUUACUGAAAUCGAUCAGUAAGUAAAGCCGUAACGCCUGCGUUAAAGGUAAGAAGAGUCUACAGAAAUUUUGUAGAAAACAUAGGUGGUACCACGAUCAGUAAACUGUUCAAUCGUCCUAUGA
rnacentral:ncRNA from 1 species